rnacentral:rRNA from 1 species
AUGCCUAGACAAGCUAUGGAGGUGGUCACGGCAGUGGACUCUGCUGUGGUUCCUGAGACUGAGACCUUAUUGUCAGAUGCUGCUGGCGCUACCGAUAAGUCGGAGGCAGAUAGAGCCUCCAAGUAUGCUCGUAAGAAGGGCAAGAUGUUGUGCUAUCGCUGUGGUGAGAGGGGCCACUUUAUUGCGGAAUGUGUAACUGAACUUUGUGAUACCUGCCUCAAACCUGCGCAUGACACGGUGGAGUGCCCUAUCCUGCGGGAUCAGAUGCCGAGUAUCACCAUCUAUGGCGUAUAUUGUGUUGAGCUGAUGUUCUUCGAGUCUCUU